rnacentral:rRNA from 1 species
GUGCCAGCCGCCGCGGUAAUACAGAGGAGCCAAGCGUUGUCCGGAUUGACUGGGCGUAAAGCGCACGCAGGUGGUCGCGGGCGUCGGUGCUGACAACUCGCCGCUUAACGGCGAGAGGCGUGCCGAUACGCCGCGACUUGAGGCCGUGAGAGGUCCGUGGAAUUGCCGGUGUAGUGGUGAAAUGCGUAGAGAUCGGCAGGAACACCCAUUGCGAAAGCAGCGGACUGGCGCGGAACUGACACUGAGGUGCGAAAGCGUGGGGAGCGAACCGGAUUAGAUACCCGGGUAGUCC